rfam:Clostridiales bacterium 42_27 Ley3_66761_scaffold_1323, whole genome shotgun sequence.
GUAAAAUUGUAUCGCAGAGGUGCCGCCGCGAGGCGGAGAAUAGAGAAUCCGGUGCGAAUCCGGAACGAUGCAGUCACUGUGUACGGGAACGGCCUGCGUAGCCACUGGGAAACUGGGAAGGGCAGCGCCGCGAUGAACGAAGUCAGGAGACCUGCCUCUGCGAGAAAUCUCAA